ACACGCAUGACACACUGCAUAUCAAUAAGCGGAGGAAAAGAAACUAACAAGGAUUCCCUAGUAACGGCGAGUGAAGCGGGAAGAGCUCAAAUUUGAAAUCUUCAAGGUUUUACCUUGACGAAUUGUAGUUUAAAGAAGUGUUUUCUGUUAGAGAGUUUGGUAAAAGUUCUUUGGAAUAGGACAUCAUAGAGGGUGAGAAUCCCGUAUUUGGUCAUUCCUCCUAGCGUUGUGAUACACUUUCAACGAGUCGGAUUGUUUGGGAAUGCAGUCCAAAAUGGGUGGUAAAUUUCAUCUAAAGCUAAAUAUUGGCGGGAGACCGAUAGCGAACAAGUACCGUGAGGGAAAGAUGAAAAGAACUUUGAAAAGAGAGUUAAACAGUACGUGAAAUUGUCAAAAGGGAAGCGUUUGACACCAGUGUUGUUUUUCCGAAAAUCAAUUAAAAAUUGAUUCAUGCUAGGUUGUAUUGACCUCAUCAGCUUGCAAUUUAGUUUUGGGUCUCUUUUUGAUGCACUUUUCGGUUAACGAGUCAACAUCAAUUUCCUUUGCUGUAAAAAGGUAAGAGGAAGGUGGCUUCAAUUUCGGUUGAAGUGUUUAUAGCCUUUUAUCUCUGCAGUCGGGGAGAUUGAGGUCUGCAGCGUAGAUCCUUCGGGGCUUGAUACAUUUAUGCUAAGUUAUAGCUUUUCAUAGACAACUUGUUGACUAUGUUUAGUCAUGUAGCUUACUCGUAAGUGCUAUUUUACCUACGCUUAGGAUGUUGAGCGCAUGUCUCUCUCU
rnacentral:rRNA from 1 species